GUGCUCACUUUGGCAACACAUAUACUAAAAUUGGAACGAUACAGAGAUGAUUAACAUGGCCCCUGUGCAAGGAUGACAUGCAAAUUCACAAAGCGUUCCAUGUUUUU
rnacentral:snRNA from 1 species